rnacentral:lncRNA from 10 species
AGACAAAGAAAAAAUUUGAACAAAAAUUCAAAGCUAGGAAGUAGAUGAAUGGAUGAUAUUGGACUUAACAGAAGGAAAGAUGAUAAAAAUCUAAGUCUGUAGGGAAGAUGUUGUAAGAAGAAAGUUACUUCCUACUUCAGAUCCCUGAAGUAUGUCAAAAGUUAACCUCAGACACCUCUAAUUUUGGGAUAUAAGAAGCUAAAUUAAAUUAAAACAAUGGUUUUGAAAUGGUAAAACAAAGAGACUUACACCUCUUCACCUUUAUUGCACAGCUAAUAAAAUAUGUUUUCUUUCUUAACAGAAAACAAAGUUAAAUUUACUCUUUGUUUAGGAUGAAACAAGCAGCUUGGGAUUGAGGAAACCAGCUGGGAUUUAUAUGGAAUGCCUUCUAAAAACAAGGUAGUAUAUUAACAUUUGUAGACUUACUGGUGAGAUUCUUCAGUCCUCUGCGCUUUCUUGCUCUCAGAAUGUUGCCAGCCUGGUUUAAAAUAUCCACACCUGCAUUCUCAGCAGAACCAUUGAUAAUUUCUUUCUAGGAAAACUGACGGACCCAAAGGAUAGUACUAUGAGAAACAGACAAUUGGGAUUCUCACCGUGGAAAUAUCAGUUGUCAACAAUAAUAACAUCGGUACAAGACAUAAAAUGUAAACCUUGAUGCACAAAUACAGAUUUUGGACAAGUUAUUUUUAAAAUAAAUAUAUAAAGAAAACAAAAAUACAUGUUUAAUUCAAUUAAUAAAACUAAGGACAAGCUCCAAACUAGUUUUGCUCUCUAAUUUCCCAUUUGUGCCAC